rnacentral:rRNA from 1 species
UACAGAGGGUGCAAACGUUGUUCGGAAUUACUGGGCGUAAAGCGUGUGUAGGCGGCCUCGUAGGUCGGAUGUGAAAGCUCUCGGCUCAACCGGGAAAGUGCAUUCGAAACCACAAGGCUUGAGUGUCGGAGAGGAAGGCGGAAUUGUCGGUGUAGAGGUGAAAUUCGUAGAUAUCGACAGGAACACCUGCGGCGAAAGCGGC